rnacentral:rRNA from 1 species
AGCGAACGCUGGCGGCAGGCUUAACACAUGCAAGUCGAGCGGGCACUUUCGGGUGUCAGCGGCGGACGGGUGAGUAACGCGUGGGAACGUGCCCUCUGGUUCGGAAUAACUCAGGGAAACUUGAGCUAAUACCGGAUACGCCCUUUUGGGGAAAGGCGUGCUGCCGGAGGAUCGGCCCGCGUCUGAUUAGUUAGUUGGUGAGGUAACGGCUCACCAAGGCGACGAUCAGUAGCUGGUCUGAGAGGAUGAUCAGCCACACUGGGACUGAGACACGGCCCAGACUCCUACGGGAGGCAGCAGUGGGGAAUAUUGGACAAUGGGCGCAAGCCUGAUCCAGCCAUGCCGCGUGAGUGAUGAAGGCCUUAGGGUUGUAAAGCUCUUUUAUCCGGGACGAUAAUGACGGUACCGGAGGAAUAAGCCCCGGCUAACUUCGUG